CAUAAGUGAUGCGUAUGAUGUAAAAUGUACACUACUUGCUGCAACCUACGUUAAAAGGGUUUUAUUUGUAUCAUUUUGUACAAGAUAGAUGUAAUAGCAAAGGUGAAUUUAGUAUAAAGAAUUUUGAUAAUGUAGCGAUUAUAAUCCUUCAUAUUACGUAUUUAAUAUUAAACUUUCAGCCUCACGCAUUUAUUGGAACUGAAGCAUGAACACAGUUUAAAAGUUUUGAUCUGUUGUUGAAAUUAACCCGACAAUGCAAUACCAGGCCUACAUCAUUGAGACUAAACUUUAUUGUGCACUAUUUUCUUUUUUUUAUUUAAUAGUAGACACUGACUCGAUGGUGCUUCAUGAAUCUAAACAGUACACUGAGCGUCACGAGGUCAGGUACGAUGAUUUGGUCAACUCAGGACACCUGAGCGUCGGAGCGUUGUCAGUGCCCUACCCACUCACUUCUUGGCUAAACUUAUUCCUGUCCUUUGAAACGUGCUGCAGAUUGACUUCGUAUUCACACCAGAUCAUUUGUUCUUCUCUGAGGUUUUAGGUUGUCCGGACACACACGAGGCGGCGUCUGACAAGCAUACUGUACAAGGGGAGUGGUAGGAAUGUGAAGUCGAUUUGCUGCGCGCUUCCAAGCAAGACAAGAAUGUGGAAACCAAUCCACGUGUUCAAAACCUCUGUACACACGUGGAUGUAGAGAAGACUGCCGUGGCCCUUUCCGCAGCCGCCAGGACGCUGUGGCGCACCGCCUUACAAGUGGCAAGGAGCAGCCUGUCCCUGCAGCUGGUAUGAGAGGUGACACACGAGCGUCGUCGUUCCAUACUCCGAGAUGGGCGGUGAAACGCACUGUGGUGACUUCUGCUCUCCACCUCUUCACCAAUGCUCAGUCAAGAGUCUGUUCCGGCGAGACCUCCCGAUCUAGUCUACUCCUUUUUCGAGUCUGGAAAGUUCCGCAUUAAAAGUUAGGCUACAAAAGCUUAGGUUACAAAAUUAUGUUAAUGCUUUUUUUCUUGGGUCUUCCGAUCAAUUUUUCAGCAACCACGAGACAUCGAAGAAAAAAGAAAGGUCUUAAUUAACCUUCUUUAUUUAUUUAUUUUUUUGUACGUUACUCCUCUCCUUUUUACUUAACUUUUUAUUUCGCUCUGUUUUGUUCGUGUUGUAUAAUUAGCAAAUGAAAAAAUGGAAGACGGGAAGAACGAGGACAGAAAAACCGAAAUGAAAACAAAAAUCCUAAAGUGAAAAUGGAAAACGGAAAAUUAGCCAGAAAAGGAGAUAAAAAUGUGAAAAUAGAUAGAAAGCUGCCCAAAUAUUUUAAAUAAAAUCCCUAUUUAUAUACCUAAAUCUUAUACUGCUUAGAUUAAGGAUGAAAAAUUUACCUCAAAUACCAUACAUACAGUCUAAAUCAAAAUGAACACAACCACAAACAAUAUUUAAUAUAUUAACUACAACUAUUAUAACGCUGGAUAUUUUUUUGUCUCCCUUUUAAAACUAACUAUAGAAAAUCCAUACAAGGCCCUGAGUUACUGUGUAUCUGUGUUUAGAGGUGUUGAGGAACUAUUGUGCAAAGCUUGUUACCGAAGAAAUGUUUCUGUUUACAAUUCA